rnacentral:rRNA from 1 species
CCUACGGGGGGCUGCAGUGGGGAAUAUUGGACAAUGGGGGCAACCCUGAUCCAGCCAUGCCGCGUGUGUGAAGAAGGCCCUCGGGUUGUAAAGCACUUUCAGUGAGGAAGAACGCCUGGUGGUUAAUACCCAUCAGGAAAGACAUCACUCACAGAAGAAGCACCGGCUAACUCCGUGCCAGCAGCCGCGGUAAUACGGAGGGUGCGAGCGUUAAUCGGAAUUACUGGGCGUAAAGCGCGCGUAGGUGGCUUGAUAAGCCGGUUGUGAAAGCCCCGGGCUCAACCUGGGAACGGCAUCCGGAACUGUCGAGGUAGAGUGCAGGAGAGGAAGGUAGAAUACACGGUGUAGCGGUGAAAUGCGUAGAGAUCGGGAGGAAUACCAGUGGCGAAGGCGGCCUUCUGGACUGACACUGACACUGAGGUGCGAAAGCGUGGGUAGCAAACAGGAUUAGAUACCCUGGUAGUC